GUCCACCCCGCUGUGCUCCUCCCCUCAGAUCUCUCCGCCCAUGAAGUGCCACUCGGUGGCUGCGCUCUGGUCGCCGUCGCCUCCUUCCCACCACAUCACCGCCGUCGCCGCAACCCCUGCCGCGCUCUUCACCGGCGCCGCCGACGGCACCGUCCUCCACUGGCCUCUCCCUCCUUCCCCGCCCUUCCACCUGCGUCCCUGCUCCCUUCUCUGCGCCCACGCCGCCGCCAUCACCGCCCUCUGUCCUCUCCCCUCCCCCGCCUCCCUCCUCGUUUCCUGCAGCGCCGGCGUCCUCUCCCUCUUCUCCGCUUCCGCCUCUCUGCGCUGCCUCCGCCGCCGCUCGCUCCCGCCCUGGGCCGGUUCCCCUUGCCUCGUCGCGCCCCUUCCCUCCUCCUCCUCCACUUCGUCAACCCUCCGUGUCGCGAUCCUCUGCCACGCCCACGAUGACGGCCACGGCCACCGCCACGUGUCCGCAGUUGUGGUCAUCGACGCUCGGACCCUUGUCGUUCUUCACACCGCCUUCCACGGCGCCCUUUCAGUCGCGCCCCCGAAGGCAAUCACUGUCACGGUCAACAGCGACGACAAUGCCGUCACUGUUGUGCUGGCUGACGCGCAGGGGCGGACACAGAUGGUGCCCGUGGUGGAGGUCUCGGCCAUCGAGGGCGACUCACCGAGGCGGCUCAGCGUGAGCUCCUUGUCCAGCGUUGCAUCCGCAGAGGCACCGGAUGGUAUGGUGGAGGCCGUGGCUUUAUCUGAUGAUGGGAAGGUCGUUGCUUUGGUGCUGAAGACGAGCUGUUUCUUGAAAUGCGUUCUCGAGGGUUCCUUGCUGGGUGAAGUGUCUCUGGCCAAUACUUCACUAUGCAACGAGGAGGAUGCAGGGGUCACGGGUUGCCUUGCUGGAGGUUUUUUUCUCCAUGGUGGGGAGUGGGGAUCCCGGCAUUCGGAGGAUGGCAGCGUGGUCAGGAGCUUGGUGUUGUGGAGUAGCAAUGGUGGUGCCAUGUUGUACAGGGUUGUGGUUGGUACUCCAUCGUUUGUGUGUGAGGCUGUAUGUGCAAUCCCUAGUAUUGCAUCUGAGCAGGGACAGAGGUCAUCAGUGCAAUGUUGCCAGAUGGACAACUGUCUUAUUAGGGUGGAGUCUUGCCCGUAUAAGAUCUGUGGUUCUGUGUUGUGGAAACCCCAUAUCUCCAUAUGGUCUAUGAAUCAACUAGAAUUGAGUGUUCCAAAGAACGCAGAGAACCCACCUUUCAGCAAAGUUCUUGGAGAAGGCAGUCUCCAGGGAGAAGAAUUUAUGUCAGAACCCUCUCAUUCACUGCCCAAGUCAGACAAUGGAUUGGAAAUUAGUUCACAUAUGUGCUCAUCAUACAACGAUGGACCGGGGAGGUAUGGAAGGACUGUGUCUUCUUCAAUGGUACUUUCUGAGGAUUCUUAUGCUCCAUAUGCUGUAGUUUAUGGUUUCCAUAAUGGUGACAUAGAAGUUAUCCGAUUUCUCAACCUGUUGCCAGCUGCAAAAUUUGGUACUGGAGGUGCUUACCCACAUAUUUCUGAAAGAUUUUUUUUGGGGCACAAGGGAGCAAUUAUUUGCUUGGCUGCGCACCAUAUGCAUGUGCACUCUGACUCCCGAAGCUUCCAACGAGCACUCAUCUCGGGGAGUUUGGAUUGCACAAUUCGUGUCUGGGAUCUAGAUGCUGGCACCCUCCUUUCUGUGAUGCAUCACCAUGUCGCGUCGGUUAACCAAAUAGUACUGCCACCAGCUUGGACUCAUCAUCCUUGGGAUGACUGUUUUAUUUCUGUUGGAGAAGAUGGCCUUGUAGCACUUGUUUCUCUUGAAACUAUGCGUGUUGAGAGGAUGUUUCCUGGGCAUUCAUGUUACCCAUCAAUGGUUGCUUGGGAUGGAGUAAAAGGGUACAUAGCUUGUCUAUGCCGGAGUCUGCACUCCUGUAAUGAUGCAGGUAGCAUAUUGUAUAUUUGGGAUAUGAAAACAGGUGCUCGAGAACGAAUUGUUAGAGGGACGGCAUCUCAAUCGGCAUUUGAACACUUCUGUAAGGGAAUUUCCAGAAAUAAAGUUACUGGUGGCUUCUUGGGAGGGACAACUUCAGCUUCUUCCUUACUUGUUCCAGUUUUCAAAGAGAUAACCCUUCUUCAAUCUGAUGGAAAUAAAAAUGGACAUAACAUUUCAUCUGUAUCAAAGAACUAUCACAAUGCUGCAGAUUCUGUUGCUUUGAGUGCCCCUACUGCACAUGAUGUUAAGGGGAAAACACCAGCUCCAGAUGAUAGAGAUAAUUCUGGAUAUAUUUCAGGAAAAUUUGGCUGUGCCCAGAUCAUUAACAAAAGAAGAAAGUAUCGCAUAAAGUGCUCCUGUCCAUAUCCUGGCAUUGCAAGUCUGAGAUUUGACCUCACAGCAAUCAUGUCUGCGCAAGGCAUGUCAAACAGCAAUAGUGAUAGGCAUUUAGGAGACCAACUUUGUAAUGAUCAUAUCAAAGAAACUGUAAAGCCUGGAGCUUUUGAUAAUACUUCUCGGGGCCAUGAAAUGGAUAGCCCAUCUAGAGAGUCAUUGGAGGGCCAAUUACUCCGAUUUAGUCUCUGUUUUCUGCAUUUGUGGGAUGUUGAUUGUGAGCUAGACAAAUUGAUUGUUGAUGAGAUGCAAAUUUGCAAGCCAGAAGGCUGCCAUAUAGCUACAGGGGUGGUAGGGGACAGAGGCUCGUUUACAUUGAUGUUCCCAGGGAAAGAAGCCACUCUUGAGCUUUGGAAGUCAUCCGCUGAAUUUUGUGCUAUGAGAUCGUUGACAAUUGUUUCUCUUGCCCAACGCAUGAUCACGCUAUCUCGUUCUUGUACAAAUGCCAGCAGUGCCUUGGCGGCUUUUUAUACAAGACACUUUGCUGAGAAAGUUCCAGAUAUAAAGCCCCCAUCCCUCCAGCUUCUGGUGAGCUUUUGGCAACAUCCUUCUGAACAUGUGCGAAUGGCUGCCCGCUCCUUAUUUCACUGCUCAGCUCUUCGUUCUGUUCCACAACCGCUCCGCAUACAGAGAAGCAAAAUACCUGAUGUCCACUUGUCUCCAUCUGAUCAUAUGGACAAGCUUAUCCCAGCGAUACAGAAUGCCUCAUUAUCUAGGUAUGGACAGUUGAAGGCAGAUGGUGAAAAUCUUGAUAGAGAUGCUGAUGAUACUUCUCAGAUAAACUCAUGGCUGGAAUCAUUUGAAAAUCAGGAGUGGCUAUCAUGGAUUGGAGGGACAAGCCAGGAUGCAGUGGCAUCAAAUAUCAUUGUUGCAGCUGCUUUUGUUGUUUGGUACCCGAGCAUUGUGAAAGUUAAGCUUGCAAAGCUGGUUGUUAAUCAACUAAUCAAGUUAGUUAUGUCCAUGAAUGAUCGUUACAGUUCAACUGCAGCUGAACUUCUAGCGGAGGGAAUGGAAAGCACAUGGAAAGCAUGUUUGGGUACUGACAUAGCUCAUUUCAUGAGUGAUGUCCUUUUCCAAAUUGAGUGUCUAAGUAGUGCACCUUCUAGCAAUGCCAUGUAUAAAACUGCAGUUGCUGUUACAAUGAGGGAGGCCUUGGUUGGUACUCUUCUACCAAGCUUGGCAAUGGCUGACAUAAUGGGAUUUUUUGGUGUAAUAGAAAGUCAAAUUUGGGCUACUUCAUCUGAUUCACCUGUUCAUGUAGUUUCUCUCAAAACUCUCAUCCGAGUAGUUCGAGGCUCUCCAAAGGCCUUGGCUCCUUAUCUUGACAAGGCAAUCAGCUAUAUUCUACACACAAUGGAUCCAAGCAAUUUAAUAAUGCGCAAAGCUUGCAUUAUUAACUCAAUGAUGGCUUUAAGAGAAAUUGCACGUGUAUUUCCAAUGGUUGCUCUCAAUGAAUCAAUGACAAGAUUAGCUAUUGGUGAUGCUAUUGGAGAGAUCAACAGUGCCACAAUUCGUGUUUAUGACGUAGAAAGUGUCACAAAAAUAAGGAUUCUUGAUGCAUGUGGACCACCAGGUCUUCCAAGCUUUCUUGAAGGACCAUCAAAUACAACAACAACCAUACUGAUAACAGCUUUGAGUUUCUCACUGGAUGGAGAGGGUCUUGUCGCAUUUUCCGAGAAUGGGUUGAUGAUUAGAUGGUGGUCUCUAGGUUCAGCCUGGUGGGAGAGGCUAAGCAGAAGCCUUACUCCUAUCCAAUGCACAAAGCUUAUCUAUGUUCCUCCAUGGGAGGGAUUUUCACCCAACUCAGCUCGUCUAAGUAUAAUUUGUAACAUAUUGGGACAUGAUAGCCAUCGAAAUUCAGAGACUAAGACGAGGGAACUAGAUGAGGCUGAUAAUCUGAAGCUGUUGCUACAUAAUCUUGAUCUUUCUUACCGCCUUCAUUGGGUUGGUGUCAAGACCAUUAGACUUGCAAGGCAUGGCCAGGAGUUGGGUACAUUUCAGUUGUGAUUAAUGAUGAGUUAUCGCUUAUUGAUGAUUUAUGGAUAUUGUUGAGUUGCCUUGGAGUUUGAAUAGACAGAUGUGGUGAAGUGUGACCAGAGUUGCCCGAAGUUUUAGCCAAACCAUCACCUAGACAAACAUAUAGUAUCAUCGUGCUUUAUGGUUGGCAGGGAUUUGCAUGCCACCAUGCAGAUCAGAGAACUUUGGAGUUACUGCCAACCCAAGGUGGAGUCUUGAGUUGCAGUCCCUUGCGUUAGAGAUCAAAUAAUAUUUGGUUGCUGCACCUGUUUAAUUUGUUGUUAGAAAUCAAAUGAUAUUUGGUUCCUCCUGUUUAAUUUGCUGGUCUAGCGACACUGAGAUUUCAGUUAAGAGGCUCACGUUGCCUCGCAUAGUGCUCAGGUCUGCCCAUGUGGUGAUGGCUGUCCAGUUCGCUGCCGUGGAGAGGUCCAGUGGUUGUCUCUGCUUAAUAUUGGCCUUCGGUGGCAUCAAUCUCUCGAUGUCGCAAUGUGACCUCGGUGGUGCGCCUUCGUCGGCAUGUGUGGCACUUCAUUACGUGCUAGGUGCUCGAGAUUGUCAUCAGGAUUGAUCGGUGAGCAAGCGGGUGAUGGUUGUGUUUUCUACGUUGUCUUGACAGCGUGAUUCCAUUUGACGGACCAAACACUCCUUCCUGCACUUCUGGGUUGUGCUCAUGGUGCUCAGUGCUAAGUAUAAUGUCUUAGUCAUGUUUGUCUAGAACUUUGCUCGAUUUCCUGGUACUGUUUCGGUUUCCCUUGUUCUUUUUGUGUAACUGUGUUGGUGCGUUGUUUUGUACAAGGAUGUUGUAUCCAGAUUCUUUCAUUUAAUUGAAAUGGUUAAAGCUGACUAAUA